rnacentral:rRNA from 1 species
UCCAUUAAUCAAGAACGAAAGUUAGAGGUUCGAAGGCGAUCAGAUACCGCCCUAGUUCUAACCAUAAACGAUGCCAGCCAGCGAUCCGGCUGUGUUCCUCAAAUGACACGCCGGGCAGCUUCCGGGAAACCAAAGCUUUUGGGUUCCGGGGGAAGUAUGGUUGCAAAGCUGAAACUUAAAGGAAUUGACGGAAGGGCACCACCAGGAAUGGAGCCUGCGGCUUAAUUUGACUCAACACGGGAAAACUUACCCGGCCCGGACACAGGAAGGAUUGACAGAUUAAGAGCUCUUUCUUGAUUCUGUGGGUGGUGGUGCAUGGCCGUUCUUAGUUGGUGGAGCGAUUUGUCUGGUUAAUUCCGAUAACGAACGAGACUCUAGCCUACUAAAUAGACGUUCCGAUCAUCUGCGUCGGACGUUCUUCUUAGAGGGACAAGCGGCGUUUAGCCGCACGAGACAGAGCAAUAACAGGUCUGUGAUGCCCUUAGAUGUCCGGGGCCGCACGCGCGCUACAUUGAAGGAAUCAGCGUGUGCUUUCCCUGUCCGACAGGACUGGGUAACCCGUUGAACCUCCUUCGUGCUGGGGAUAGGGGCUUGUAAUUGUUCCCCUUGAACGAGGAAUUCCCAGUAAGCACGAGUCAUAAGCUCGUGUUGAUUACGUCCCUGCCCUUUGUACACACCGCCCGUCGCUACUACCGAUUGAAUGAUUUAGUGAGGUCUUCGGACUGGCGCUCGGAGCGGCCCUCGGGUCGCGCCGGCGUGCCGGAAAGAUGACCAAACUUGAUCAUUUAGAGGAAGUAAAAGUCGUAACAAGGUUUCC